ACAUGCCAACUAUCCCGAUUUUUGCGGGAUUCUCCCGAUUUCACGUCGUCAAAAAUACAAAUCCCGAUAUCCCGAUCGGGAUUGUCAAAAUACCCCGAAAUCCCGAUUCUCAAAAAAUCCAACCCGUUUUACGACAAUACGGUCUUGUAAGUCCCGAUUUCCAUCAAAAAUUUCAAAUCCCGCGCUGCUUGUCUACGCUAACCAAUCAAAAAGCGGGAUUAUGACCGCCAUUGCUGUUUACCUGUAUCGCGUGUGUGUAUAUCGGGAUGUGUGAAUUGGUGUAAUUACCUGUACGCUACCUGUGUCUGGGUGUUUGCAAACCUAAUGAGGAGCAUGUUUUGAUAGUAAUUAAUCGGGAAAUAUCGGGAUGGAUAGCAAAAUGCCACACUUUUUACACAAACUUCGACAAGAAUGGGGUUACACUACCAAAGAAAACGAAACUUUCAUCCUGAUAUCAGGAGGUAGAUUCCCGAUUUUCGGGAUGACUAUCGGGAUCGUAAUUGGAUGACAACCAUGUAUAUCGCCGUGCAAUAGGGAUUUUAGGGUAGACCAUGGUGGAAUGAAUGAUGUUACAAAGAACACGAAAACAGCCAUCCAUCAAGCCACAUGCUGCUACCAACUUCUUUGUGAAAUCAAAAUUGGAGGAAGAUGAAGAUGUCACAAGAGCAGAGGUCCUGUUUGCCAACUGCGUUGCAGAAUUUAGUGCUUUUUGAACUGCUAUACCAUACUAUUUAUUGUUUGUUGAGAUUUUAAAAUUGAUUUAAUAAAGAUUGAUUUAAUAUAUGAAAAUAAAGUUAUGUACUUUAUUUAUGUUUUCAUUUGAAAGAGGAGAUUGUUUGAAAAACACAUUAGGAUAGUGAUAAAUAUAUGAAGAAACAGAUGAAUUUCUAAGUAUACAAAGCAAUUACACGACAAAAUGCCGCGAAAUUUCCUUCUAGGAAAAUGUCGUCGCGCGUAAAAUCCCCCAUGGAGAUUUUCAAAAGUUGGCAU